UUAAGGCUGAGACACGACGUCGAGCUACUACGGUAGUGAAGUCAUUGAUGCCAUGCUUCCAGGAAAAGCCUCUAAGCUUCAGAUUGUAAGGAAUCGUACCCCAAACCGACACAGGUGGUCGGGUAGAGAAUACCAAGGCGCUUGAGAGAACUCGGGUGAAGGAACUAGGCAAAAUGGUACCGUAACUUCGGGAGAAGGUACGCUCUUGAUGGUGAAGUCCCUUGCGGAUGGAGCUGACGAGAGUCGCAGAUACCAGGUGGCUGCAACUGUUUAUUAAAAACACAGCACUGUGCAAAAUCGUAAGAUGACGUAUACGGUGUGACGCCUGCCCGGUGCCGGAAGGUUAAUUGAUGGGGUUAGCGUAAGCGAAGCUCUUGAUCGAAGCCCCGGUAAACGGCGGCCGUAACUAUAACGGUCCUAAGGUAGCGAAAUUCCUUGUCGGGUAAGUUCCGACCUGCACGAAUGGCGUAAUGAUGGCCACGCUGUCUCCACCCGAGACUCAGUGAAAUUGAAAUCGCUGUGAAGAUGCAGUGUACCCGCGGCUAGACGGAAAGACCCCGUGAACCUUUACUACAGCUUGGCACUGAACAUUGAACCUACAUGUGUAGGAUAGGUGGGAGGCUUUGAAGACGUGACGCCAGUUGCGUUGGAGCCGUCCUUGAAAUACCACCCUUGUAUGUUUGAUGUUCUAACGUUGGCCCCUAAUCGGGGUUGCGGACAGUGCCUGGUGGGUAGUUUGACUGGGGCGGUCUCCUCCCAAAGAGUAACGGAGGAGCACGAAGGUGGGCUAAUCACGGUUGGACAUCGUGAGGUUAGUGCAAUGGCAUAAGCCCGCUUAACUGCGAGAAUGACGGUUCGAGCAGGUGCGAAAGCAGGUCAUAGUGAUCCGGUGGUUCUGAAUGGAAGGGCCAUCGCUCAACGGAUAAAAGGUACUCCGGGGAUAACAGGCUGAUACCGCCCAAGAGUUCAUAUCGACGGCGGUGUUUGGCACCUCGAUGUCGGCUCAUCACAUCCUGGGGCUGAAGUCGGUCCCAAGGGUAUGGCUGUUCGCCAUUUAAAGUGGUACGCGAGCUGGGUUUAGAACGUCGUGAGACAGUUCGGUCCCUAUCUGCCGUGGGCGUUGGAAGAUUGAAGGGGGCUGCUCCUAGUACGAGAGGACCGGAGUGGACGAACCUCUGGUGUUCGGGUUGUGUCGCCAGACGCAUUGCCCGGUAGCUAAGUUCGGAAUCGAUAACCGCUGAAAGCAUCUAAGCGGGAAGCGAGCCCUGAGAUGAGUCUUCCCUGAUACUUUAAGUAUCCUGAAGGGUUGUUCGAGACUAGAACGUUGAUAGGCAGGGUGUGUAAGCGCUGUGAGGCGUUGAGCUAACCUGUACUAAUUGCCCGUGAGGCUUAACCAUACAACACCCAAAGGGUUUUG
rnacentral:rRNA from 1 species